rnacentral:rRNA from 1 species
GAUGAACGCUAGCGGCAGGCUUAAUACAUGCAAGUCGUGGGGCAGCAGGGGUAGCAAUACCCGCUGGCGACCGGCAAACGGGUGCGGAACACGUACGCAACCUUCCUUUAACUGGAGAAUAGCCCCUCGAAAGAGGGAUUAAUACUCCGUAACAUAUACAUGUGGCAUCACAAGUAUAUUAUAGCUCCGGCGGUUAAAGAUGGGCGUGCGCCUGAUUAGAUAGUUGGCGGGGAACGGCCCACCAAGUCUGCGAUCAGUAACUGGUGUGAGAGCACGACCAGUCACACGGGCACUGAGACACGGGCCCGACUCCUACGGGAGGCAGCAGUAAGGAAUAUUGGUCAAUGGACGCAAGUCUGAACCAGCCAUGCCGCGUGGAGGAUUAAGGCCCUCUGGGUUGUAAACUCCUUUUAUCUGGGAAGAAAUGCCAUUUUUCUAAAUGGUUUGACGGUACCAGAGGAAUAAGCACCGGCUAACUCCGUGCCAGCA